rnacentral:rRNA from 1 species
GAUGAACGCUAGCUACAGGCUUAACACAUGCAAGUCGAGGGGAAACGACAUCGAAAGCUUGCUUUUGAUGGGCGUCGACCGGCGCACGGGUGAGUAACGCGUAUCCAACCUGCCCAUCACUUGGGAAUAACCUUGCGAAAGUAAGACUAAUACCCAAUGACAUCCCACGAAGACAUCUGAAUGGGAUUAAAGAUUUAUCGGUGAUGGAUGGGGAUGCGUCUGAUUAGCUUGUUGGCGGGGUAACGGCCCACCAAGGCAACGAUCAGUAGGGGUUCUGAGAGGAAGGUCCCCCACAUUGGAACUGAGACACGGUCCAAACUCCUACGGGAGGCAGCAGUGAGGAAUAUUGGUCAAUGGGCGAGAGCCUGAACCAGCCAAGUAGCGUGCAGGAGGACGGCCCUAUGGGUGGUAAACUGCUUUUAUAAGGGAAUAAAGUGGGUCUCGUGAGACUUUUUGCAUGUACCUUAUGAAUAAGGACCGGCUAAUUCCGUG